rnacentral:rRNA from 1 species
AUUGAACGCUGGCGGCAUGCUUUACACAUGCAAGUCGAACGGUAACAGGCCUUCGGGUGCUGACGAGUGGCGAACGGGUGAGUAAUGCACCGGAACGUACCCAGAGGUGGGGGAUAACGCAGCGAAAGCUGUGCUAAUACCGCAUGUGAUCUGAGGAUGAAAGCGGGGGACCGAGCAGCAAUGUUUGGCCUCGCGCCUUUGGAGCGGCCGAUGUCGGAUUAGCUAGUUGGUGGGGUAAAGGCCUACCAAGGCGACGAUCCGUAGCUGGUCUGAGAGGACGACCGGCCACACUGGGACUGAGACACGGCCCAGACUCCUACGGGAGGCAGCAGUGGGGAAUUUUGGACAAUGGGCGCAAGCCUGAUCCAGCAAUGCCGCGUGCGGGAAGAAGGCCUUCGGGUUGUAAACCGCUUUUGGCAGGAACGAAACGGUGUCCGCUAAUACCGGGCGCUAAUGACGGUACCUGCAGAAUAAGCACCGGCUAACUACGUG